UAUUUUGGGGCAGAUCAGGUAACAACUCUAAUGAUAAUGUUACCCAAAACUGAUGGAAAAAAGAAGAAUAACUUCGACAAAAUACUUUUAUUUUUGCAGCCUGUGCAUAUUAUUACAUUAUGAACUUUUAAAGGGAGGAUGGACUAUUUUUUAUUCACUUUUAUAAUCCCUGUCUCCAGCACCAUAUUUUGACUGUGGUGAUACAGGCAUACCUCACUUUGUGGCACGACACAUAUUUGUGGGAUGAAUGAAUCGUUCUUUCUCUCUUUUUUAUUGUAGGAAAAAAUAUGUAAUAAAAAAUUUCCACUUGAUUUUAACUGUACAGUUUGGUAUCAUUGAGCAGAUUCAUAUUAGAACAGGGUUCUACUGACAGCAUUGUACCAAGUGAGGGGACCAGAAAAAUUUCUGCUUUUCACUGCGGAAUGUCAUUUGAAUCAGAAAUCUUCUUCUGGGGACUUUGUUAUUUGAAUUUCUAACUUUCCUUAUUACUUGGCUGGGGAAAAACGCAUACUGAACAACAAAAUGGUAAUGAUCAUCCUCAGAGACUAGACCUUGUCAAUGUUCUCUGAUGCCUAGUAGGACCACUGCAGGGAAAAAAAAGUUAAUGGGACUGUUGCUAGGAGACGGGAGAGCCAAAAGCUCAUAGUCUUGUAGGGGUUCCUCUGGAAAUCAAGGCAACUUCAGUGUGUUUUGGAUUAGAGGUUUAGCUAUUAAAAUCUGCCCUUUGAUGAGCAUGCACAUUUUAGCAUAUAAUGUUUAGUAUGAUUUCAUGUUUUUGGAGAAUUCUUGAGGAUAAUCUCAAGGCCUUUCAUUUCUUUCCAUAGGGAUAAUCCCUUUUUCAGAGCACAUCUCAUUUGCAAGUGGCUGUUGCGCUGCUGUUUGCCCCCACUCCUUCAGUGCGACAGACAGCCUCAGAGCUGGUGGGGAGAGAGCAUGCCGCUGGAAAAAUUCAUAGACAUGGAAUUCCUGGAUCAAAUGAUACUAAGGGAGACUUGCCUGGAAGCAGACUUUUGUAUCCGCAGUGUACAAACUCAUCCUUUAAUGCGCACACUGGCCGGAUAACACAAACACACAUUUACUCCCACAGCACACAGACUCUUCACAGUACACACACUUGCCUUCCAGUACACAGACAUAUCCAAAGGCACACCGACAAGCACCACAGCAGAAAGAUUUUCCCCAGAACACACGGACACCCCACUCCCCGUAUCACUAGACUCUCCCAGAGGCACAUAUGUACUCCUUCAUGCAGAGACUCACCUAAGGCACACUGACGCACCCCACACAUAAGGACUCUACUAUGACACACAGACAAUCCCAGCAUCACGCACUGUUCCCACAUCACACGAACCCUUUCUAGGAGACACACAGCAUGCAGACUUACCCCAUAGAACAUGGCUUCCCCGACAAGCACACAUACUCUCAAGGCCAGUAGCCUCACCCCAGAGCACAUAGACUUUCUCCAGAGUAUACAGCUUCUUCCCACAGGAAACAGACUCUCCCCGGGGCACACAGACACCCCUGAGGUCACACACUCUCACCACAGAUCAUAGACUCAUCUUAGAGCACAGGGACUCUUGCCAAGAAAUAGACUUUUCCGAGAACAGACUCAUGAGACAGCUUGAAGCCCCGCAUUGCAACGCAGACUCUCCCACAACAGACAGACUCACCCCAUUGUGUACAGACAAGCACCACAGGCCACAGACCAUCACAUCAGGACACAGACUUGCCCAGCACUACACAGACACUCCCCAGAGCACGUAGAAUCACCCCACAAAGCACAGACUAAACCCAUACUACAGAGACUCCCCCUAUAGCUUUCAGACAAGUUUACCCCACCACGAAGACAUGUGACAGUACGUCUUACAACAUCUAUCACUCCUUGAUGCACAGGAUUGGGCCACAGCACACAAACUUGUCCUACAGUGCACAGAUUCCUGUCACAAAAGACACACUCACCACACAAUACAAAUACUUGCUCCAGCCCGGCGUGGUGACUCACGCCUGUAAUCCCAGCACCUUGGGAUUACAAAGUAGCACAAGCUGCUGCCUAUAAAACAGGAGAUGCCCAGCCAUGCACAGAAAUUCACCAAAAUGCACAGAUUCACCCAUCAAUAUAAAUACUUGCCUCACAACUCACGCAAACACCAUCGAGCACUGAGACUCACCCUAAGUGUACACAGAAGCCCUUCGGGGCACAGACUUACUCUGUAACAUACCACAGACUUACUCUGUAACAUACUGAAUCAUAUCCGCCACACUUAGAUGUGCCUUAUGAUUCACAGUGAUGCGUGUAAACGCAUAGAUUGCUUCCACAAUGCACAGAAUUGCAUCAUAACACAGACUGAAGUCCACAGUGCAAAACCGACGGUGCACAUAAACAUUUCCCAGUCGGUAGACAUACAACACACAUAUUGCCCCUCCAAUGUAAAGAUUUCCAUCAUGGUGGACAGAUGUGCUUUUCCAUGCUGUUGAGCUACAACUCUGGCCUACGACAACAGAAAUACAGCUUGUGUAAUAGUUACCAGCAAGGCCUCUAGACCCAUACUAACUGGGUUUGAAUCAAGGUCCCAUCCCUUGCUGAUUGUAUCACCUCGGGAGGAGAUGGAAGAUUGAGAGACAGAGGAGUGGAAGAAUGGGAAGAGGGCUUCGCGCCCAGUGCACAUUUGCCACCUAGUGACUAAACUGAAUGGUGUGCUUCUCACCUCAGCCUGGUAGCCUGACCUUGACUCCUGAGUUCUACGAUCGCUUCACAACUGCAAGUCAUUCUCAUACAAAAUUUAAGGUUUCCUAAGUCUGCGCCUUUGAGAGCUUUGGAACGAUAUGCAAGUUCAAGUCACCAUCCUCUUUCUUGCUACCUCCUGUGAGAAGACCAACCUUUGGGUUACUUCUUUCUACCCUUGUUCUUCUGCUUGAUAUUGUUGCUUCUGCAGCCAUUGAUCACACACGUGUUGUCAUACAAAAACUGGGUAGCCUU